rnacentral:rRNA from 1 species
AACGAACGCUGGCGGCAUGCCUAACACAUGCAAGUCGAACGAGACCUUCGGGUCUAGUGGCGCACGGGUGCGUAACGCGUGGGAAUCUGCCCUUGGGUUCGGAAUAACAGCUGGAAACGACUGCUAAUACCGGAUGAUGACGUAAGUCCAAAGAUUUAUCGCCCAGGGAUGAGCCCGCGUAGGAUUAGCUAGUUGGUGGGGUAAAGGCCUACCAAGGCGACGAUCCUUAGCUGGUCUGAGAGGAUGAUCAGCCACACUGGGACUGAGACACGGCCCAGACUCCUACGGGAGGCAGCAGUAGGGAAUAUUGGACAAUGGGCGAAAGCCUGAUCCAGCAAUGCCGCGUGAGUGAUGAAGGCCUUAGGGUUGUAAAGCUCUUUUACCCGGGAUGAUAAUGACAGUACCGGGAGAAUAAGCCCCGGCUAACUCCGUG